rnacentral:rRNA from 1 species
UUAUCGGAGAGUUUGAUCCUGGCUCAGGACGAACGCUGGCGGCGUGCCUAAUACAUGCAAGUCGAGCGGACAGAUGGGAGCUUGCUCCCUGAUGUUAGCGGCGGACGGGUGAGUAACACGUGGGUAACCUGCCUGUAAGACUGGGAUAACUCCGGGAAACCGGGGCUAAUACCGGAUGCUUGUUUGAUCCGCAGGGUU